ACUCCUACGGGAGGCAGCAGUGGGGAAUCUUGGACAAUGGGGGCAACCCUGAUCCAGCCAUGCCGCGUGAGUGAUGAAGGCCUUAAGGGUCGUAAAGCUCUUUCGCCAGGGAUGAUAAUGACAGUACCUGGUAAAGAAACCCCGGCUAACUCCGUGCCAGCAGCCGCGGUAAUACGGAGGGGGUUAGCGUUGUUCGGAAUUACUGGGGCGUAAAGCGCGCGUAGGCGGACCAGAAAGUUGGGGGUGAAAUCCCCGGGGGCUCAACCCCGGAACUGCCUCCAAAACUCCUGGUCUUGAGUUCGAGAGAGGUGAGUGGAAUUCCGAGUGUAGAGGUGAAAUUCGUAGAUAUUCGGAGGAACACCAGUGGCGAAGGCGGCUCACUGGCUCGAUACUGACGCUGAGGUGCGAAAGUGU
rnacentral:rRNA from 1 species